rnacentral:lncRNA from 1 species
GUUUUACCAGUCUAGUUUUCAUAGUGGAGGAUAAGGGUUCGUGGUGAGGGUUUACCAGUCUAGUUUUCGUAGUGGAGGGUUAGUGGUGAGGGGUUUACCAGUCUAGUUUUCAUAGUGGAGGGUAAGGGUUAGUGGUGAGGGUUUACCAGUCUAGUUUUCUUAGUGGAGGGUUAGUGGUGAGGGUUUACCAGUCUAGUUUUCAUAGUGAAGGGUUAGUGGUGAGGGUUUUACCAGUCUAGUUUUCAUAGUGGAGGAUAAGGGUUAGUGGUGAGGGUUUACCAGUCUAGUUUUCGUAGUGGAGGGUUAGUGGUGAG